UCACCGGGUACAAAGUUAGGACUUGUAUGUGUAAUUCCGGCAACCAGACACGAUCGAAAGAGG
rnacentral:ncRNA from 1 species